rnacentral:rRNA from 1 species
AUUGAACGCUGGCGGCAGGCCUAACACAUGCAAGUCGAACGAGUGGCGGACGGGUGAGUAAUGUCUGGGAAACUGCCUGAUGGAGGGGGAUAACUCCUGGAAACGGUAGCUAAUACCGCAUACCAUCAGAUGUGCCCUGAUGGGAUUAGCUUGUUGGUGGGGUAAAGGCUCACCAAGGCGACGAUCCCUAGCUGGUCUGAUAGGAUGACAAGGCACACUGGAACUGAGACACGGUCCAGACUCAUACGGGAGGCAGCAGUGGGGAAUAGUGGACAAUGGGAGCAAGACUGAUGAAGCCAUGCCGCGUGUAUGAAGAAGGCCUUCGGGUUGUAAAGUACUUUCAGCGGGGAGGCGUUACCCGCAGAAGAAGCACCGGCUAACUCCGUGCCAGCAGCCGCGGUAAUUC